rnacentral:misc_RNA from 1 species
GUCCUGAUCAGUAAUUAAUGAGACUGGGGCACGGUCAUUCAUAGCGGCAAGGAAGGUCUUGAAUAGCCAGACAAAUGUAGCCUCAGACUCAUCUAGAAGAAGUGCACAACCAAACAAAAUUGCCUGACCAUGAUGAUUUACUCCUGUGAGCGGAGCAAAUGGGACUUUGCACUGAUUAACUCUGUACAUCGUGUCCAGUAUAACGGCAUCACCAAAAUGACUGUAUGCAUUUCUUGACCUUGCAUCAGCCCAAAAU